AUACGAAGGGUGCAAGCGUUACUCGGAAUUACUGGGCGUAAAGCGCGCGUAGGUGGCUAAUUAAGUCAAAUGUGAAAUCCCCGAGCUUAACUUGGGAAUUGCAUUCGAUACUGGUUAGCUAGAGUAUGGGAGAGGAUGGUAGAAUUCCAGGUGUAGCGGUGAAAUGCGUAGAGAUCUGGAGGAAUACCGAUGGCGAAGGCAGCCAUCUGGCCUAAUACUGACACUGAGGUGCGAAAGCAUGGGGAGCAAACAGGAUUAGAUACCCUGGUAGUCCAUGCCGUAAACGAUGUCUACUAGCCGUUGGGGCCCUUGAGGCUUUAGUGGCGCAGCUAACGCGAUAAGUAGACCGCCUGGGGAGUACGGUCGCAAGACUAAAACUCAAAUGAAUUGGCGGGG
rnacentral:rRNA from 1 species